rnacentral:tRNA from 1 species
CAGGGGUUAGUUUAUUAAAAUAUCGGUUUUGGGGAUCGAGGAUAGAAAAUUUUUCUACCCCUGA